CGCUCUUUUCAAACGGGGCGUAUUAACGUUACACAGCGUUUCUGGUCUCGUGAAUGGCGCUUCGGAAGAGAAGUUCAUCGUUCCAAACAAAAAUGAACAACUGAAUCGUUUCACAAGGCUGUUCAAAGCGUCUCAGUCAGUUCCCUAGCUAUGGCAUCGACAAUGAAAGCUCCAUUCUCCUCCUCUGACUUACAUGGUGCGCCAGACAGUACAGUCAAUGCAAUGAUCAGAUUACAGGCCUCACACUAGGAGGAUGAGUUGCGCAGUGAAGCAGCCUAGCAACAGGCUAGACAUACAACAACCUCCUGCUCUGCUCAAGUAGGAAAGUUCACUGACAAACCUUGCUCAGUCAUCUAUUUGUAUAUUAGUCCCCACCCUGUCUCUCCCCAUCACAUAGUCGAUGUGACUCACACUGCUGGUGG